CCUACGGGGGGCAGCAGUGAGGAAUAUUGGUCAAUGGCCGGAAGGCUGAACCAGCCAAGUCGCGUGAGGGAAUAAGGCCCUAUGGGUCGUAAACCUCUUUUGUCAGGGAGCAAAGGCGUCCACGUGUGGACGAAAGGAGAGUACCUGAAGAAAAAGCAUCGGCUAACUCCGUGCCAGCAGCCGCGGUAAUACGGAGGAUGCGAGCGUUAUCCGGAUUUAUUGGGUUUAAAGGGUGCGUAGGCGGAGUGUCAAGUCAGCGGUAAAAUUUCGGGGCUCAACCCCGUCGUGCCGUUGAAACUGACACCCUUGAGUGAGUGAGAAGUAAGCGGAAUGCGUGGUGUAGCGGUGAAAUGCAUAGAUAUCACGCAGAACGCCGAUUGCGAAGGCAGCUUGCCGGCGCUCAACUGACGCUGAGGCACGAAAGUGCGGGUAUCGAACAG
rnacentral:rRNA from 1 species